AAAAAUAAUUAUUUUAGGCAAGUCAGUUUUUCACGCUUUGAAAAUUUAAUAAAAGAACCAAUAAACAAAUAAAGAUGUAAUAUUAAUUAUUAUACCAGUUAUGAAAUCAAUCAAGAUUGACAAUGAAAAAAAAAAUGCCUAGCGGGACAACGAUAAUUUAUAAGCUAAACCAAAAAUUAAACAGACAACAAUAAAGAUGAUUUCAGACGGCGUAAAGACAGGAAAUUCUAACUGAAUGUUCUCUAAGAGCUACCCAAUCAGUUCCUGGUAUUCUGUUUUUCCUUAUAUGAAGAAGAAAAAUCCAAGAAUCGUGGUUAUAAUUAUUUUUUUGUGAUUUAGAAAAUUUGACGUUUAACUUGAUCACAGAUCUUUGACGUUCUCUUUUGAAUUUAUUAUUAUCUUUGGAAACGAAUGGCUAUUUGGGAUGCCAUAUCUAAUAAUAUGUGUUGAAUAUUGAUAAUCAUUAUAUAAUGUGAAGAUUGUUUGUUUUUUGUUUUUUCUUGGUUGCUUACUCUUUGAAGUAAACCCAACACCUGUACAUUCUUAUGCUGUAAUACUCAUAUUAAAUUGCCUUAUAUGAUCAAAUACCACAUUUAAUUCUUACUACAUACAUCUGUCUUUGGAGUAAAUAUGACCGUUAAAAC
rnacentral:lncRNA from 1 species